rnacentral:rRNA from 1 species
AAAAGCUAUCUCAGUUCGGAUUGGGGUCUGCAACUCGACCCCAUGAAGUCGGAAUCGCUAGUAAUCGCGUAACAGCAUGACGCGGUGAAUACGUUCCCGGGCCUUGUACACACCGCCCGUCACACCAUGGGAGUUGGGUUCACCCGAAGGCCGUGCGCCAACCUGCAAAGGAGGCAGCGGACCACGGUGAGCUCAGCGACUGGGGUGAAGUCGUAACAAGGUAGCCGUAGGGGAACCUGCGGCUGGAUCACCUCCUUU